CUGCUGCCUCCCGUAGGAGUCUGGGCCGUGUCUCAGUCCAGUGUGGGGGCCUUCCUCUCAGAACCCCUACGCAUCGUCGCCUACGGUGGGCCGUUACCCCGCCAACAAGCUAAUGCGACGCAUGACCAUCCGUAGCCGGAAUCGCUUCCUUUAAACCCACAGAGAUGCCUCCAUGGGUUGUUACGCGGUAUUAGACGGAAUUUCUUCCGCUUAUCCCCCUGCUACGGGCAGGUUUCAUACGUGUUACUCACCCGUGCGCCGGUCGCCGG
rnacentral:rRNA from 1 species